rnacentral:rRNA from 1 species
UACGAAGGGGGCUAGCGUUGCUCGGAAUUACUGGGCGUAAAGGGAGCUAGGCGGAUAGUUUAGUCAGAGGUGAAAGCCCAGGGCUCAACCUUGGAACAGCCUUUGAUACUGGCUAUCUUGAGUACGGGGAGAGGUGAGUGGAACUCCGAGUGUAGAGGUGAAAUUCGUAGAUAUUCGGAAGAACACCAGUGGCGAAGGCGACUCACUGGCUCGUAAACUACGCUCAUGCACGCAGCGUGGGGGAUCAAAAC